GAUGAACGCUAGCGGCAGGCUUAAUACAUGCAAGUCGAGGGGCAGCAGUUUUGUAGCAAUACAGAAGCUGGCGACCGGCAAACGGGUGCGGAACACGUACGCAACCUUCCUUUAACUGGGAGAUAGCCCACCGAAAGGUGGAUUAAUAUCCCAUAAUAUAACUGAAUGGCAUCAUUUAGCUAUUAAAGCUCCGGCGGUUAAAGAUGGGCGUGCGUCUGAUUAGGUAGUUGGCGGGGUAACGGCCCACCAAGCCUUCGAUCAGUAGCUGAUGUGAGAGCAUGAUCAGCCACACGGGCACUGAGACACGGGCCCGACUCCUACGGGAGGCAGCAGUAAGGAAUAUUGGUCAAUGGACGCAAGUCUGAACCAGCCAUGCCGCGUGGAGGAUGAAGGCCCUCUGGGUUGUAAACUUCUUUUCUUUGGGACGAAACCCCUGUUUCUACGGGGACUGACGGUACCAGAGGAAUAAGCACCGGCUAACUCCGUGCCAGCAGCCGCUGUAAAAC
rnacentral:rRNA from 1 species